AUUGAACGCUGGCGGCAUGCCUUACACAUGCAAGUCGAACGGUAACGGGUCCUUCGGGAUGCCGACGAGUGGCGAACGGGUGAGUAAUAUAUCGGAACGUGUCCAGUAGUGGGGGAUAACUGCUCGAAAGAGCAGCUAAUACCGCAUACGACCCGAGGGUUAAAGGGGGGGAUCGCAAGACCUCUCGCUAUUGGAGCGGCCGAUAUCAGAUUAGCUAGUUGGUGGGGUAAAGGCCUACCAAGGCAACGAUCUGUAGUUGGUCUGAGAGGACGACCAGCCACACUGGGACUGAGACACGGCCCAGACUCCUACGGGAGGCAGCAGUGGGGAAUUUUGGACAAUGGGCGCAAGCCUGAUCCAGCAAUGCCGCGUGCAGGAAGAAGGCCUUCGGGUUGUAAACUGCUUUUGUCAGGGAAGAAAUCUUCUGGGCUAAUACCCCGGGAGGAUGACGGUACCUGAAGAAUGAGCACCGGCUAACUACGUGCCAGCCGCCGCGGUAA
rnacentral:rRNA from 1 species